AUGUCAAAAUAUUGGUGGGGUGGGUCACUUGAUAAGAAGGGAAUGCACUGGCAGGCGUGGGAUAAGAUGUGUGUAGCAAAGUCAAAAGGAGGUCUCAGUUUCCGGGAUUUUGAAACCUUCAAUGACGCGAUGCUGGCCAAGCAAGCAUGGAGAAUUCUUGACAAUCUAAACAGCUUGUGUGCCCGAGUUCUAAAGGGAAGAUAUUUCCCAAAUGAGGGGUUCCUAACUGCGGGUUGUCCAAAAAGUGCAUCUAAAACAUGGAAGGCUAUAAUUGUAGGGAGAGAGAUGCUCAAGAAAGGACUAAUUCGACGAGUUGGAGAUGGAUCAACAACCGUAGUGUGGCAUGACCAUUGGAUAGAGGGCUCCACGUCCAUGACUCCAAUGGGUGCACUCAAGCCGAAUUCUAUUCAGCUUGUGGCUGACUUGAUUGAUCCGAAGACAAACCAAUGGGACAUAGAUAACAUCCGAAGUCUAUUUUUCCCCCGGAUGCAGAUGCGAUCUUGGCCAUGCCUAGACCGAGAGCAGGAGGUACAGACAUAUGGGCAUGGGCCUGGGAGAAGUCGAGCAUUUUCACAGUCCGGUCAGCCUACCGGCAAACGAUGCAAGCAAAGCUUCAGCUGUCGGCAAUGGUAG
rnacentral:rRNA from 1 species